UGGGGAAUAUUGGACAAUGGGCGCAAGCCUGAUCCAGCCAUGCCGCGUGAGUGAUGAAGGCCUUAGGGUUGUAAAGCUCUUUCAGUGGGGACGAUAAUGACGGUACCCACAGAAGAAGCCCCGGCUAACUUCGUGCCAGCAGCCGCGGUAAUACGAAGGGGGCUAGCGUUGUUCGGAUUUACUGGGCGUAAAGCGCACGUAGGCGGAUCGUUAAGUCGGGGGUGAAAUCCUGGAGCUCAACUCCAGAACUGCCUUCGAUACUGGCGAUCUUGAGUCCGGAAGAGGUGAGUGGAACUCCUAGUGUAGAGGUGGAAUUCGUAGAUAUUGGGAAGAACACCAGUGGCGAAGGCGGCUCACUGGUCCGAUACUGACGCUGAGGUGCGAAAGCGUGGGGAGCAAACAGG
rnacentral:rRNA from 1 species